ACUAAAUAUUCUAACAUUCUUGUUGCUAAUACAAAUGGUGUCUUUUCUCUAUUACAGCUUCUAAUUCAUUGUUUAAAUAUAGCACCAUAGAAGGAAACUAUUUUAAACAUGCACAUUCAGUCAAAUUGCUGAAUUCUCUUAUUGUUUCAGCUCUACACUGGAGGAAAGGAGAAAGAAGCUGGAGAUGAAAAUACCAGGAAAGGAAACAGAACAAUAGUUCAGUUAAGAGAGAUGCCAAAACCAGAAAAGUUAGAAGAUACAUCUUGUGAGAUAGAACAAAAACCAGGAGUGUGAUACUUCAUGAAUGUCAAGAUCCUGUAAGAGGAAUGGGGAAUUAUCAAUGUGCCAAAUACUAUGAAGAAGCUAAGAAGAGAACACAGAAGCAGCCAUGAUAUGUCAUCACAGAGGUCAUUGGUAACAUUGACAAAAAAUUAUCUCACUGGCUCAGGUGAAAAGAAAGAUUGGAAGUGAGACAAUGGACCCUGGAUGCCACAAUUAUGAACAACUUUAAAGAACUUUCUAACUACCUGAGAAACAACAGCAACAAAAUAAGUGUGAAGAAAAAUCAUCAGCUGAGAAGAAAGGAAGUGGUCUCUCUCAUUACAAAAACAAUGAAGUCAUCGACUUUAAUGAAGAGCAGAGGUCUGACUGCUUUGAAGGCUGAACACUACAUUUUCCUUCCAAGUAAACUUGAAGCUGUGUACAUGAUUCUAAAUGACUGAAGGAUUAUCUAUAACCCAGAUGCUUGAUAGUUUUGUGUCACUUCCUACUGUAGGGUUUAGGGGUGGUCUGUGGAAGCUGGAAUAUACACCAAGUGACUUUACUCACACUUUUCUUAUUUUUUUUAAUCAUUGGUAUUCAUAGCAAAUUUGGAGGACAAUCAAGAGAUAGUUCAUAUAAAGGUAGGCUGAGGUUUAAAAUCAAAAAGGUUAAUAUUUAUGUUUUCCUGAACAAUGUUUAUGUACAAAUUGAACAAAGAAUCUAUUUCUGUCUAUAGACAUAAAAGAUAAAAGAGAAAAGUCAAAUAGAGUAGGCUAGAUUCAUAGCAUCUAUUUUAUUUCCUUGCAGCUACAGAAAUCUGAUUUCCAAAGACAAAGAUGAACACUGCUACUUGAAUUGUGAUGAUUAUAUCUUAAUGCAAUUUACUUUUAAGGAUAGUUCCACCUUGAAAUGACAAUUUCAGACUGAAUUACAGCCUGUGUGGUAGAAUGGUCAUGCCUUACCUGCUGGAAAUUAAGAUGGUAUUAAAUUCUUGUCUUAGGACUCUGGUGAAUCUUUAAACAUCAGUGUUAUCUGAGGAAAACUACAGAGUUCUGUUAAAAAAAAAAAAAAAAAAAAACCUGGGUGGGGCGCGGUGGCUCACGCCUGGAAUCCCAGCACUUUGGGAGGCCGAGGCGGGUGGAUCACGAGGUCAAGAGAUUGAGAUCAUCCUGGUCAACAUGGUGAAACCCCAUCUCUACUAAAAAUACAAAAAAAUAGCUGGGCGUGGUGGCGCGUGCCUGUAAUCCCAGCUACUCAGGAGGCUGAGGCAGGAGAAUUGCCUGAACCCAGGAGGCAGAGGUUGCAGUGAGCCAAGAUCGCGCCAUUGCACUCCAGCCUGGGUAACGAGCGAAACUCCGUCUCAAUAAAAAAAAAUAAAAAAAAAAACUAAACUGCAUUAUUUUUUGCAAGAUUUCAUAUUGCUCAGUUUAGUGAAUUGGUAUUAAAGAUCUGUUCUUGGUUCGGUGCAGUGGCUCACGUCUACAAUCUCAGCACUUUGGGAGGCCAAGGGGGGCAGAUUGUCUGAGCUCAGGAGCUUGCCACCAGCCUGGCCAACAUGGUGAAACCCCAUCUCUACUAAAUUACACAAAAUUAGCCAGGCGUGGCGUCAUGCACCUAUAGUCCCAGCUACUCGUAGGCUGAGGCAGGAGAAUUGCUUGAACCUGGGAGGUGAACAGGUUGCAGUGAGCCGAGAUUGUGCCACUGAACUCUAUCCAUCAAUUCAUCUUAUCUUCCAAUUGUUCUAACUCAGUUGAAGAUAUCAGUACAUUUUGACACCAGAAACCUCAGAUAAUUAUUAUUAUCAGCUA
ensembl:lncRNA